UACAGAGGGUGCGAGCGUUAAUCGGAAUUACUGGGCGUAAAGCGUGCGUAGACGGCUAUCUAAGUCGGGUGUGAAAGCCCCGGGCUCAACCUGGGAAUUGCAUUCGAGACUGAAUAGCUAGGGUACGGUAGAGGGAAGUGGAAUUUCCGGUGUAGCGGUGAAAUGCGUAGAUAUUGGGAAGAACACCGGUGGCGAAGGCGACCAUCUGGACCGGAACUGACGCUGAGGCGCGAAAGCGUGGGGAGCGAACAGG
rnacentral:rRNA from 1 species